GCUCACGUGUGCACGCUCGCACAUUUCCUCGGCCGCCAUGUGUGUGUUUGUGCGCGUGUUACGGUGACGGCGGUGAUUGACAGGCCGCUCCGCAGGGCAUUCUGCCGUCCUGAGACAGGAAACGCAGACAGCGAGGAGGACUCGAGGGAAAAAUCUGCACAGUGAUAAUUACAGCGGCCUUCACCUCCUCCACUUAACCUCAGCGUGAUCAAAAUCAUUCCCCCGGAAGCGUUUUCUGUGAGGAGAGAAAAGCAACCUAAGCAAGGUGAAGUCACACACAUGGUUCUCAAAAGCCUGCAAAGUGUAACAUCAAAAGAGAGCAAGAAGUCACAGGGAAAGGCAGAGCUGAUGAUACAGGUUUCCCAGAGACUAUGGGUUGAGGAGGAAGUGGAAGUUUGUCGGCUUAGACCUGGUGUCAUUCCAUCAGUGUUAAACUUCCCGGCUCAUCUUGGAAGAGUACGUGCCAGAAAGACCACGACCAAGCAGCCUUGAGAUCUUAGACAGCGUCUCCCUGAGGUCCCUCUCUAUCUCCCCACACAUCCACCAACCACUGGAACACAUCUCCAAAGUUCUGCUGGACCAGCUCAGCUUCCCCUCAGAAGAAGUGCUGCCACCUGCCAGAUGAAGGAGCCUUUUGAGAGGCAGCUGGCAUCGUGAUUGGACUGUACUUUGGUCUGUUCCAAUCCAGCUUCAGCUCCAGAGACGGCAGGCGGGACGAGUCAACGGAGGCCGGAUGGACGAAGGCAUGAAGCUGAGUACAAUCCAGAAAACAACAGAGGAGGAGUGCAGCGGCCCAGAGCCAGAACAACCAGAGUAGCAUCACCAAAGAACUACAGACUCUUCACAACCUGCUCAAACUCUUGGUACAGGACCUCACCACACGGGUCAAGAAGGUUUCUGUCUCAUUUCUACUCUGAAGCUCACCUUCUCCUGCUCAAACUGCUGACAAAUGUUUCUGCUGCUCUAAAGUCUGGUCUCCAGAACUUCCUAAAAACUCUCAAAGUCUCUUCUGCUGCAGGUUGCUUUGUAGAACUGUUCCAGAAAACCUCACUAAACCACAUGGAGGGGCUUCAAGAUAGUCGUCCAAAUGAAACCAUACAAAAACCAAACUAGCACAACCCAAACACUAAAGUCUCCUGCAGCCUACCAGAGAACCUCUGAGAACAGAGAAUCAGGACAGGAACUCUUACCUUCUGGACAACCAACGUUGGUUCUCAAACAAGAAUACAGAAUGUGUCUGACCAGAAACCUCUGAAGACUCACUACAGCCAAGAUAAAGACACAACUCAGCUGCACCAAAUCCACUAAUCACUGCACACAUUAGCACCAUGUGCUAACUGUGGCUAAAGAACCACAUUUACCAAGACAACUAUCCAGUACAAAGCCCUAAAACACACCAAGAAACACAUUAAAGACGAUUUUACUGCUGGAAGCUGCAAGCCAACGCCUAAAGAACAAACUCAAGCAACGGAACCAAACCCGGUUCAGUGGUGGAGAGAAGCAGAGGAAAUGUUUGUCUGCAGCUAAAUAAAGCAGGAAGACACUGAGCUGCUCAGGUGUUCCUGAUAACACCAAGCUGCUCAGGUGUUCCUGAUAACACCAAGCAGCCACCUGGACAGCCAAUAGGAACACAGCUUACUGGAAGUUCAGAGGGCUGGGUUACUGAAGGAAAUUUAGUUUAAAGUUGAGGCAGAAAGUUAAUAAACAAAGUUGAAAACCACCUUCUGAUACCUGAAAUCUCUGAGUUUUCACACAAAGAACACCUGAACAUGUCAAACUGGUUCCAUAGUAGAACCCUCAUUGUAAAAACAUCAUAGUAUGGUGUGUUGCUCAAAAAACAUUAGGACCUGGCUGUCAGGGGACAAACAUGUAAGAAACAUGAGAACAGAGAGAACCCAACCAGUAGGUCACAGUUUAUCAUCCCCCAGUCAUCUCCUGAAGUCCAUAUGGUGAGAGACAUCAGUAUCUGGUUGUUCAUUUACCAGAGGAUGCUUAUAAUCAUGCUGAUGUGGUCUGUACUCUACAGUAUUUUAGUGACUCAAUAAAUGCCAAAGUUUUUUUUUUUUUUAAAUGCUUUUUAGUUUUUAAUCAACAUUUAAUAGCCUAUAUGUAAUCAAUAAAUGGCCUUUGCCUAUCUUAAGAAAAAUUCACUCAGAACUCUGAUAUGUUAACAGUACUAAAUAAAUCAAUAAAUACAUGCAUACACACAAAAAUAAGUUAAUACAUUAACUGUGUUAAGAUUUAGAUUUUAAAAAAAGUUGUUUAUGUUUUUGCAGAAUCCAGUAUUGCUCACUGGUUGGUCAUUACAUUUUGUUAGUUUGAUUUCACUGUUUAAAAUGAUGCCACCUCUUUUCAGACAGAACCUGUGAUAAUAAAACAAUACAAAAUUUUUAGUUCUGUGUUAAUAAAGCACUUAAAGCUUUAAGUAUGGCUAAAUGCUUUUUUCAAAAUUAAAUAUGUCACUCCUUAGGUGGUAGUGGCCCCAAGUUCAGUAAAGUUGGAAAGAUAUUCACAGAUUCGGGCUUCCAGCAUCAAUAACUCAUUAGAUAUAGGUUUUCAAAACAUAAACGGUUCCUCUUUCCCAUUGUUGCAAGGCAGACAAUGUGCUACAAGCCCAGUUUUAUCAAAAGUAGCCGUCUUUCAAGCUACAGGAAUAACAUUGGUGUCUAUGGAGUGAACAGGGUCCGUCUGCAAUUUGCAAAACCGCUGCAACAGUAAAGAGAGACAAAUAUUCAAUAACUUCACUCUUAUACAUUGUAGUGUCACUAAAAUCACUGCAGCCUUCAACUGGCUCCUGUUGACAAAGUGUUUUAACAGAAAUGUAAAUGCUGUAAUUUGAUUCUUUUAAUGAACCAUGUAACUUGAAUGGAUGUGAUGCAGGUGUGACCACAGUGCACACGUCUGAUGUUGCUCACAGUGGUCCAAGGGACGCUCAGGGAGUUUGUGUGUUUGCUCACACUCAGACUGAAAAAUUACAGGGAACAUUGGUUACAAGAAUUGUUUGACUCAAGGUUAAGAGUGGUAGUUAAUGUGACACCAGGAGCUUUGAUGAAGCCUUACAUUUUACAAAUAUGACUCUAU